rnacentral:rRNA from 1 species
GAGUUUGAUCCUGGCUCAGGACGAACGCUGGCGGCGCGCCUAACACAUGCAAGUCGAACGGAGCUGAGAGGAGCUUGCUUUUCUUAGCUUAGUGGCGAACGGGUGAGUAACGCGUGAGUAACCUGCCCUGGAGUGGGGGACAACAGUUGGAAACGACUGCUAAUACCGCAUAAGCCCACGAUCCGGCAUCGGAUUGUGGGAAAAGGAUUUAUUCGCUUCAGGAUGGACUCGCGUCCGAUUAGCUAGUUGGUGAGGUAACGGCCCACCAAGGCAACGAUCGGUAGCCGGACUGAGAGGUUGAACGGCCACAUUGGGACUGAGACACGGCCCAGACUCCUACGGGAGGCAGCAGUGGGGAAUAUUGCACAAUGGGGGAAACCCUGAUGCAGCGACGCCGCGCGGAGGAAGAAGGUUUUCGGUAUGUAAAGCUCUAUCAGCAGGGAAGAUAAUGACGGUACCUGACUAAGAAGCUCCGGCUAAAUACGUGCCAGCCGCCGCGGUAAUUC